AACUAAAUCUAAUAGCGUUUGCUUACUUCUAAUUUUCAAGGUAGAUGAAGCAUCAUUGCAAAAAGCGCUGCAUUUGGUGUACAGCCUCAAUCAGGACUAUGUAGCUGUUCUGUUUUAUGCUUCUUCGAGAACUUCAGACCAAGCUAUUCAACCCUGUCUUCCUUAUAUCCAUCUAUUCCUCAUUUUGCAAUAGAAGAAUCAGCCAUCAGACCAAGCAUACUGUCAAAAUAUGGAAUCUUGUGUUUGGCAUACCAACUGUACAAAUUUAAUGAUGGGAUUUGUCCGAAUAGAGCGACUACGCAGGGGUUGAAAGGCUUCCCUGUAAAGUGUGCUCAACAAGUCGGUGCCCGCGAGUGUGGCUAUUACAUUAUGAAGUUCAUGCAUGAAAUAGUCACGUUACACCAUAACUCUGAUGAGCGGUUAGAUAAUGCUUACACUCCAAGAAAUGCGCCUUAUACCGAUGAGGAAAUAGAUGUGGUUCGUGAGCUAUGGGCUAAGUUUUUUACAACCGAGUAUUUAUUUACUUAGGUUGUUUAGACACAAAGAUGGAAGCAUUUAUAUCU